UUUCGGUGGGCACGAUGAAGGCAAUCAACGACUCCAUCGAAAGAAAAGAGGGAGAUAGAAGAGAGAGGAAGCCUGAUGUUUUCAUGGCUUGCUUAAGAUAAAGAAGAAGAAAUUUAUAGAUGGGAUCUAGGGCUCCUAGAGUCCCAAUCCCAUUCUGAUUCAAAGAGGGAAGACGGACUCUAUUAGGAGUCCUCUUCCGUUCUCUUCUUUCUUAU
rnacentral:lncRNA from 1 species